AUUGAACGCUGGCGGCAGGCCUAACACAUGCAAGUCGAGCGAGCGGCGGACGGGGGUGUGAUUUAUGCGGGUCUGCCCGCUAGAGCGGGAUAACUACCGGAUACGGUAGCUCAUACAGCAUACUCUCUGAUUAACCCAUAUGGGAUUCGUUAGUAGGUGAGGUAAUGGCUCACCAAGGCGACGAUCUCUAGCUGGUCUGAGAGGAUGAGCAGCCACACGGGGACUGAGACACGGUCCAGACUCCUACGGGAGGCAGCAGUGGGGAAUAUUGCACAAUGGGCGCAAGCCUGAUGCAGCCAUGCCGCGUGUAGGAAGAAGGCCUUCGGGUUGUAAAGUACUUUCAGUCGGGAGGCGUUACCGGCAGAAGAAGCACCGGCUAACUCCGUGCCAGCAGCCGCGGUAAUUC
rnacentral:rRNA from 1 species